rnacentral:rRNA from 1 species
UAAGUAGGAUGUGAAUCACGAGGCUCAACCUCGUGGCUGUGUCCUAAACUGGUAGACUUGAGAACAUGAGAGGUCACUGGAAUUCCUAGUGUAGGAGUGAAAUCCGUAGAUAUUAGGAGGAACACCAAUGGCGAAGGCAGGUGACUGGCAUGUUUCUGACACUGAGGCUCGAAAGCGUGGGAGCGAACGGGAUUAGAUACCCCGGUAGUCCACGCCGUAAACGAUGGAUACUA